rnacentral:rRNA from 1 species
AUUGAACGCUGGCGGCAGGCCUAACACAUGCAAGUCGAGCGAGCGGCGGACGGGUGAGUACUGUAUGGGGACUGCCCGAUAGAGGGGGAUAACUACUGGAAACGGUAGCUAAUCCCGCAUACUAUCGGAUAACCCAUAUGGGAUUAGCUAGUAGGUGAGGUAAUGGCUCACCUAGGCGACGAUCCCUAGCUGGUCUGAGAGGAUGAUCAGCCACACUGGGACUGAGACACGGCCCAGACUCCUACGGAGGCAGCAGUGGGGAAUAUUGCGCAAUGGGCGAAAGCCUGAUGCAGCCAUGCCGCGUGUAUGAAGAAGGCUCUAGGGUUGUAAAGUACUGUCAGUAGGGAGGCGUUACCGACAGAAGAAGCAACGGCUAACUACGUGCCAGCCGCCGCGGUAAUUC